rnacentral:rRNA from 1 species
UACGGGGGGGGCAAGCGUUGUUCGGAAUUACUGGGCGUAAAGGGCUCGUAGGCGGCCAACUAAGUCAGACGUGAAAUCCCUCGGCUUAACCGGGGAACUGCGUCUGAUACUGGAUGGCUUGAGUUUGGGAGAGGGAUGCGGAAUUCCAGGUGUAGCGGUGAAAUGCGCAGAUAUCAGGAAGAACACCCGUGGCGAAGGCGGCUCUCUGGGACGGUACUGACGCUGAGACGCGAAAGCGUGGGGAGCGAACGGG